rnacentral:rRNA from 1 species
AGAUUAAGUUAUUAAGGGCGCACGGUGGAUGCCUUGGCACUAGAAGCCGAAGAAGGACGUUACUAACGACGAUAUGCUUUGGGUAGCUGUAAGUAAGCGUUGAUCCAGAGAUUUCCGAAUGGGGGAACCCAACAUGAGUUAUGUCAUGUUAUCGACAUGUGAAUUCAUAGCAUGUCAGAAGGCAGACCCGGAGAACUGAAACAUCUUAGUACCCGGAGGAAGAGAAAGAAAAAUCGAUUCCCUGAGUAGCGGCGAGCGAAACGGGAAGAGCCCAAACCAACAAGCUUGCUUGUUGGGGUUGUAGGACACUCUAUACGGAGUUACAAAAGAACAUGUUAGACGAAUCAUCUGGAAAGAUGAAUCAAAGAAGGUAAUAAUCCUGUAGUCGAAAACAUAUUCUCUCUUGAGUGGAUCCUGAGUACGACGGAGCACGUGAAAUUCCGUCGGAAUCUAGGAGGACCAUCUCCUAAGGCUAAAUACUCUCUAGUGACCGAUAGUGAACCAGUACCGUGAGGGAAAGGUGAAAAGUACCCCGGAAGGGGAGUGAAAGAGAACUUGAAACCGUGUGCUUACAAGUAGUCAGAGCCCGUUUAUGGGUGAUGGCGUGCCUUUUGUAGAAUGAACCGGCGAGUUACGAUCUGAUGCAAGGUUAAGCAGCGAAUGUGGAGCCGUAGCGAAAGCGAGUCUGAAUAGGGCGUUGAGUAUUUGGUCGUAGACCCGAAACCAGGUGAUCUACCCUUGGUCAGGUUGAAGUUCAGGUAACACUGAAUGGAGGACCGAACCGACUUACGUUGAAAAGUGAGCGGAUGAACUGAGGGUAGCGGAGAAAUUCCAAUCGAACUUGGAGAUAGCUGGUUCUCUCCGAAAUAGCUUUAGGGCUAGCCUCAAGUGAUGAUUAUUGGAGGUAGAGCACUGUUUGGACGAGGGGCCCCUCUCGGGUUACCGAAUUCAGACAAACUCCGAAUGCCAAUCAAUUUAACUUGGGAGUCAGAACAUGGGUGAUAAGGUCCGUGUUCGAAAGGGAAACAGCCCAGACCACCAGCUAAGGUCCCAAAAUAUAUGUUAAGUGGAAAAGGAUGUGGCGUUGCCCAGACAACUAGGAUGUUGGCUUAGAAGCAGCCAUCAUUUAAAGAGUGCGUAAUAGCUCACUAGUCGAGUGACACUGCGCCGAAAAUGUACCGGGGCUAAACAUAUUACCGAAGCUGUGGAUUGUCCUUCGGACAAUGGUAGGAGAGCGUUCUAAGGGCGUUGAAGCAUGAUCGCAAGGACAUGUGGAGCGCUUAGAAGUGAGAAUGCCGGUGUGAGUAGCGAAAGACGGGUGAGAAUCCCGUCCACCGAUUGACUAAGGUUUCCAGAGGAAGGCUCGUCCGCUCUGGGUUAGUCGGGUCCUAAGCUGAGGCCGACAGGCGUAGGCGAUGGAUAACAGGUUGAUAUUCCUGUACCACCUAGUAUCGUUUUAAUCGAUGGGGGGACGCAGUAGGAUAGGCGAAGCGUGCUGUUGGAGUGCACGUCCAAGCAGUAAGGCUGAGUGUUAGGCAAAUCCGGCACUCGUUAGGCUGAGCUGUGAUGGUGAGAGGAAAUUGUUUCCUCGAGUCGUUGAUUUCACACUGCCGAGAAAAGCCUCUAGAUAGAUAACAGGUGCCCGUACCGCAAACCGACACAGGUAGUCAAGAUGAGAAUUCUAAGGUGAGCGAGCGAACUCUCGUUAAGGAACUCGGCAAAAUGACCCCGUAACUUCGGGAGAAGGGGUGCUCUUUAGGGUUCACGCCCAGAAGAGCCGCAGUGAAUAGGCCCAAGCGACUGUUUAUCAAAAACACAGGUCUCUGCUAAACCGUAAGGUGAUGUAUAGGGGCUGACGCCUGCCCGGUGCUGGAAGGUUAAGAGGAGUGGUUAGCUUCUGCGAAGCCACGAAUCGAAGCCCCAGUAAACGGCGGCCGUAACUAUAACGGUCCUAAGGUAGCGAAAUUCCUUGUCGGGUAAGUUCCGACCCGCACGAAAGGCGUAACGAUUUGGGCACUGUCUCAACGAGAGACUCGGUGAAAUCAUAGUACCUGUGAAGAUGCAGGUUACCCGCGACAGGACGGAAAGACCCCGUGGAGCUUUACUGUAGCCUGAUAUUGAAAUUCGGCACAGCUUGUACAGGAUAGGUAGGAGCCAUUGAAACGUGAGCGCUAGCUUACGUGGAGGCGUUGGUGGGAUACUACCCUAGCUGUGUUGGCUUUCUAACCCGCACCACUUAUCGUGGUGGGAGACAGUGUCAGGCGGGCAGUUUGACUGGGGCGGUCGCCUCCUAAAAGGUAACGGAGGCGCUCAAAGGUUCCCUCAGAAUGGUUGGAAAUCAUUCACAGAGUGUAAAGGCAUAAGGGAGCUUGACUGCGAGACCUACAAGUCGAGCAGGGUCGAAAGACGGACUUAGUGAUCCGGUGGUUCCGCAUGGAAGGGCCAUCGCUCAACGGAUAAAAGCUACCCCGGGGAUAACAGGCUUAUCUCCCCCAAGAGUUCACAUCGACGGGGAGGUUUGGCACCUCGAUGUCGGCUCAUCGCAUCCUGGGGCUGUAGUCGGUCCCAAGGGUUGGGCUGUUCGCCCAUUAAAGCGGUACGCGAGCUGGGUUCAGAACGUCGUGAGACAGUUCGGUCCCUAUCCGUCGUGGGCGUAGGAAAUUUGAGAGGAGCUGUCCUUAGUACGAGAGGACCGGGAUGGACAUACCUCUGGUGUACCAGUUGUCGUGCCAACGGCAUAGCUGGGUAGCUAUGUAUGGACGGGAUAAGUGCUGAAAGCAUCUAAGCAUGAAGCCCCCCUCAAGAUGAGAUUUCCCAACUUCGGUUAUAAGAUCCCUCGAAGAUGACGAGGUUAAUAGGUUCGAGGUGGAAGCGUGGUGACACGUGGAGCUGACGAAUACUAAUCGAUCGAAGACUUAAUCAAU